CUUCUCACUACUGAGCAUGUCCCGUGCUUUCCCGCUGUUACAAAUAAUGCCACAGCUCUCUCCUCUCCAAGUUCACCUCAGGACUAAGCCUGUGCAGUGUUUAGGUCCAUUAAACAACAACGACAAAACAACAACAACAACAAAAGACAAAGAAGACCACGACAGAGGUCAAAUCUAGCUACAGAAAUCAGCACCACAAAGUGAGAGAAGGUUACCAAGUCCCAGUGACAUGAGGUGUGUGGUGAUUCAGCAGGGGACCCUGGCAGCCUUGGCCCAUUUCAUCUUCCAACAAGCUCUUUCUACCGCAUCAUACCUAUUCCUUCUACACAUUCAGCCAACCUGCCAAUAAGGAACAGAAUCGGGUGUCAAUAAACCAAAAAAGUCUAAACCUUUUGCCAGUAUAUUGCGGUUAAAGCAAUUCUCCUAUUUCUCCUUCCUUUGCCCUAAAAGUUAA